GCAGUGGCAGUUCAGGGACAGAAUUCUCGCCUUCCAUGCGGGAAACCCGGGUUCGAUUCCCAGCCGGCA
rnacentral:tRNA from 1 species